UACGGAGGGUGCAAACGUUGCUCGGAAUCAUUGGGCGUAAAGCGCACGUAGGCGGCUUUGUAAGUUAGAGGUGAAAGCCCAGGGGCUUAACCCUGGAAUUGCCUUUUAAGACUGCAUCGCUAGAAUCGUGGAGAGGUGAGUGGAAAUUCCCGAGUGUAGAGGGUGAAAAUUCGUAGAUAUUCGGAAGAAACACCCAGUGGCGAAGGCGACUCACUGGACACGUAAUUGACGCUGAGGUGCGAAAGCG
rnacentral:rRNA from 1 species